rnacentral:rRNA from 1 species
UACGUAGGUGACAAGCGUUGUCCGGAUUUACUGGGCGUAAAGGGCUCGUAGGCGGCCAACUAAGUCGGAUGUGAAAUCCCCAGGCUCAACCUGGGAACUGCAUCCGAUACUGGAUGGCUUGAAUCCGGGAGAGGGAUGCAGAAUUCCAGGUGUAGCGGUGAAAUGCGUAGAUAUCUGGAGGAAUACCGGUGGCGAAGGCGGCAUCCUGGACCGGCAUUGACGCUGAGGAGCGAAAGCCAGGGGAGCAAACGGG